GCCCACAGCCAGGCGGGCUUUAAGCUCCAGCAGAGCGGGGAGCACAGCGCCAGCGGCCGCCAUCGAGAUCUCAGGAGCCUGGAAACAGCAGAAAUCGGAGGAUAGAGCUGCUGUCCUCCUGCUGCCGGGUCAGUGCUGAGUGAAAUGCACACAGCUGCUGCUGUUGACCACAAGCCAGUGCUCCCUUCAGACAAGCCGGUACAAGUCAAGGCAUGUUCCUGUUCAGCAGAGCGCCCUCUGCCUCAGCAUGAGAGAGAGAGAGAGAGAGAGAGAGAGAGAGCACAGAGGAGAGAACCCAGCAUCAGAGGUCAAGCCAUCAGAGGAAUGCAGGCUGGACAGAAAAUAGACUGCAGCACAUCAUCUGCCUCCAGAAGAGGAGAAAAGAGCAGGAAGAUUGGCAUUCUUAAUCUUUCCGGGCUGUGAGAGAAGACGGCUGUGGGUUUGGAGAGGGCUGAUUUGACCUCUAUUAAAUGGGCCGAUCCUCGCGGGGUCUGGACUGAUGCAGCAACUCUACGCAGAUGAACCCGGCUGUGAUAACCGAGCCUGGUAUUACACACACACACACACUCGCCUAGAGGACCUUCAAGAAUAAGAGCCCAGUCAGUCAGUGUUCAUUAAUGAUGUAACUCAAACGUUUGGUAAAGAAUCAGCCCUUUACACCCCUUUCUCACACACACUUCUCCGCAGGAUACUGUAAUUCCCUCCUUUCUGCUCUGAGGAAUCUCGGGACAGAUCUGCUGCUUUGCGGAACACAUCAAGGGAGAGCGUUUUCGCAGUACAACAUUUAAAGGCACAGUGCACCCAUUGCCUGGUGUGACCUGAGGAAAAGGCAUUUGCAUAAAUGUGUCACCCAAAUGGGCUGCGUUCUCAUUUCUCUGUCUGAUACAGCACAUGCAGUCUACGGCCAUUCUGCACAGGCAACACUUCUAACAGCUGUUCUAUUUUGUGUAGCACAGAAAAUAUUCGUUUUUAGCAUUAAAUCAUAUACAAAUAUAAUAUAGAUUAAUAACUGAUUUCAGCUAGUGUAUCAAUAGACAUCUAAUAUACAUUCUAAUGUAGUAUUGCUUUAGAAGUGAUAAAACUGUGUUGUCUAGGAGAGAA